rnacentral:rRNA from 1 species
GACGAACGCUGGCGGCGUGCUUAACACAUGCAAGUCGAACGCUGAACCCGCUUCGGUGGGGGAUGAGUGGCGAACGGGUGAGUAACACGUGGGCAACCUGCCCCCGGCUCUGGGAUAACUCCAAGAAAUUGGGGCUAAUACCGGAUGUGACCGCUGGCCGCAUGGUCUGGUGGUGGAAAGGGUUUCCGGCUGGGGAUGGGCCCGCGGCCUAUCAGCUUGUUGGUGGGGUAGUGGCCUACCAAGGCGACGACGGGUAGCCGGCCUGAGAGGGUGACCGGCCACACUGGGACUGAGACACGGCCCAGACUCCUACGGGAGGCAGCAGUGGGGAAUAUUGCGCAAUGGGCGGAAGCCUGACGCGGCGACGCCGCGUGGGGGAUGACGGCCUUCGGGUUGUAAACCUCUUUCAGCAGGGACGAAGCGCAAGUGACGGUACCUGCAGAAGAAGCACCGGCCAACUACGU